rnacentral:rRNA from 1 species
UAGGGAAUCUUCGGCAAUGGGGGCAACCCUGACCGAGCAACGCCGCGUGAGUGAAGAAGGUUUUCGGAUCGUAAAGCUCUGUUGUAAGUCAAGAACGGGUGUGAGAGUGGAAAGUUCACACUGUGACGGUAGCUUACCAGAAAGGGACGGCUAACUACGUGCCAGCAGCCGCGGUAAUACGUAGGUCCCGAGCGUUGUCCGGAUUUAUUGGGCGUAAAAGCG